rnacentral:rRNA from 1 species
UACGUAGGUGGCAAGCGUUUGUCCGGAAUUAUUGGGCGUAAAGCGCGCGCAGGCGGCCUCCUAAGUCCGAUGUGAAAGCCCACGGCUCAACCGUGGAGGGUCAUUGGAAACUGGGGGACUUGAGUGCAGGAGAGAAGAGUGGAAUUCCACGUGUAGCGGUGAAAUGGCGUAGAGAUGUGGAGGAACACCAGUGGCGAAGGCGACUCUUUGGCCUGUAACUGACGCUGAGGCGCGAAAGCGUGGGGAGCAAACAGG